GCAAGUCGAGCGAACUCUUCGGAGUUAGCGGCGGACGUGUUAGUAACGCGUGGGAAUCUACCCAAAGGUACGGCACAACAGUUGGGAACGACUUCUAAUACCGUAUGUGCCCUUCGGGGGAAAGAUUUAUCGCCUUUGGAUUAGCCCGCGUUGGAUUAGGUAGUUGGUGGGGUAACGGCCUACCAAGCCUACGAUCCAUAGCUGGUUUGAGAGGAUGAUC
rnacentral:rRNA from 1 species